rnacentral:rRNA from 1 species
CCACUGCUAUGGGGGUCCGACUAAGCCUGCGAGUCAUGGGGCGCGCUCUGCGCGCACCGGCGGACGGCUCAGUAACACGUCGGUAACCUACCCUCGGGAGGGGGAUAACCCCGGGAAACUGGGGCUAAUCCCCCAUAGGCCUGAGGUACUGGAAGGUCCUCAGGCCGAAAGGGGCUCUGCCCGCCCGAGGAUGGGCCGGCGGCCGAUUAGGUAGUUGGUGGGGUAACGGCCCACCAAGCCGAAGAUCGGUACGGGCCAUGAGAGUGGGAGCCCGGAGAUGGACACUGAGACACGGGUCCAGGCCCUACGGGGCGCAGCAGGCGCGAAACCUCCGCAAUGCGGGAAACCGCGACGGGGGGACCCCCAGUGCCGUGGCAUCGCCACGGCUUUUCCGGAGUGUAAAGAGCUCCGGGAAUAAGGGCUGGGCAAGGCCGGUGGCAGCCGCCGCGGUAAUACCGGCGGCCCGAGUGGUGGCCGCUAUUAUUGGGCCUAAAGCGUCCGUAGCCGGGCCCGUAAGUCCCUGGCGAAAUCCCACGGCUCAACCGUGGGGCUUGCUGGGGAUACUGCGGGCCUUGGGACCGGGAGAGGCGGAGGGUACCCCUGGGGUAGGGGUGAAAUCCUAUAAUCCCAGGGGGACCGCCAGUGGCGAAGGCGCUCCGCUGGAACGGGUCCGACGGUGAGGGACGAAGGCCAGGGGAGCGAACCGGAUUAGAUACCCGGGUAGUCCUGGCUGUAAAGGAUGCGGGCUAGGUGUCGGGCGAGCUUCGAGCUCGCCCGGUGCCGAAGGGAAGCCGUUAAGCCCGCCGCCUGGGGAGUACGGCCGCAAGGCUGAAACUUAAAGGAAUUGGCGGGGGAGCACUACAAGGGGUGGAGCGUGCGGUUUAAUUGGAUUCAACGCCGGGAACCUCACCGGGGGCGACGGCAGGAUGAAGGCCAGGCUGAAGGUCUUGCCGGACACGCCGAGAGGAGGUGCAUGGCCGCCGUCAGCUCGUACCGUGAGGCGUCCACUUAAGUGUGGUAACGAGCGAGACCCGCGCCCCCAGUUGCCAGUCCUCCCCGCUGGGGAGGAGGCACUCUGGGGGGACCGCCGGCGAUAAGCCGGAGGAAGGAGCGGGCGACGGUAGGUCAGUAUGCCCCGAAACCCCCGGGCUACACGCGCGCUACAAUGGGCGGGACAAUGGGAUCCGACCCCGAAAGGGGAAGGGAAUCCCCUAAACCCGCCCCCAGUUCGGAUCGCGGGCUGCAACUCGCCCGCGUGAAGCUGGAAUCCCUAGUACCCGCGUGUCAUCAUCGCGCGGCGAAUACGUCCCUGCUCCUUGCACACACCGCCCGUCACUCCACCCGAGCGGGGUCUGGAUGAGGCCUGGUCUCCCUUCGGGGAGGCCGGGUCGAGUCUGGGCUCCGUGAGGGGGGAG